UACGUAGGUGGCGAGCGUUGUCCGGAUUUACUGGGCGUAAAGGGCGUGCAGGCGGUUUGUUAAGUGCAGAGUGAAAGCUCCCGGCUCAACUGGGAGAGGUCUUUGCAUACUGGCAAACUCGAGGGAGGCAGAGGAAAGUGGAAUUCCCGGUGUAGUGGUGAUAUGCGUAGAUAUCGGGAGGAACACCUGUGGCGAAGGCGGCUUUCUGGGCCUUACCUGACGCUGAGACGCGAAAGCGUGGG
rnacentral:rRNA from 1 species